GACGAACGCUGGCGGCGUGCUUAACACAUGCAAGUCGAACGGAAAGGCCCUGCUUUUGUGGGGUGCUCGAGUGGCGAACGGGUGAGUAACACGUGAGUAACCUGCCCUUGACUGUGGGAUAACUUCAGGAAACUGGGGCUAAUACCGGAUAGGAGCUCCUGCUGCAUGGUGGGGGUUGGAAAGGUUCGGCGGUUGGGGAUGGACUCGCGGCUUAUCAGCUUGUUGGUGGGGGAGUGGCUUACCAAGGCUUUGGCGGGUAGCCGGCCUGGGGGGGUGACCGGCCACAUUGGGACUGAGAUACGGCCCAGACUCCUACGGGAGGCAGCAGUGGGGAAUAUUGCACAAUGGGCGGAAGCCUGAUGCAGCAACGCCGCGUGCGGGAUGACGGCCUUCGGGUUGUAAACCGCUUUCGCAUGUGACGAAGCGUGAGUGACGGUAAUGGGUAAAGAAGCACCGGCUAACUACGUG
rnacentral:rRNA from 1 species